rnacentral:rRNA from 1 species
UACAGAGGGGGCAAGCGUUAUUCGGAAUUAUUGGGCGUAAAGGGCGCGUAGGCGGCUUGGCAAGUGGAAGGUGAAAUCCCUCGGCUUAACCGAGGAACUGCCCUCCAAACCGCUUCGCUUGAGACCGGGAGAGGUGAGUGGAAUUCCCAGUGUAGCGGUGAAAUGCGUAGAUAUUGGGAGGAACACCAGUGGCGAAGGCGGCUCACUGGACCGGUACUGACGCUGAUGCGCGAAAGCGUGGGGAGCAAACGGGG